GCUGGGCUCGGUGGCCCACGCCUGUCAUCCCAGCAGCUCUGGAGGCUGAGGCAGGAGGAUCGCAAGGUGGAGGCCAGCCUCAGCCAAAGCGAGGCCCUGAGCAACUCAGGGAGACCCUGUCUCUA
rnacentral:sRNA from 1 species